UUUAUUCAAUCUUUUCUUUUUCAACUACACCAUUUUCGUUCUUUUCAACUACACCUUGUUCAGCCUCCUCCACUAUACAUCUUCAUUCUUCUUUGUGACUUUUGGAACUAAAGGUGUUAAAACCUUCUUGCAUCUCAACUCGAUUACCUUACAAUUUUCAUUCUUUGGAUUAUCUUGUGUAUUACCAGAAAAUCCUUGGCUUGAUUGAUUUGCUAUCUGCUUUGCCAACUGCCCUAUUUGAUUCUCAAGCUCUUCAUUGAAGCCUCAUUAUUUCUUUGCACAACUUCUUGACUAGCAUUCAACUUGAAAAUUGGUUUGAGUCAUUUUGACAAAGCUAGUCAUGGAUUCUUCAAAAACUGAUGGCUUUCUUUGUUGUUGAGGGGAUGGAUUAGGUAAGAGUGGAUUCAAAGUGUUGUGGUUAUAGUACUUCAGGUUAUAAUGUUGUGCCCAAGCCGGGUUGUAUGUGUUGGAAUAAGGGUUCCCCUUUUUGUAGUUUCCCAUGUACUUUGCUUCCUCACUUACCCCUUCAGGCAAAUACUCAUCAUUUGCAUGUCUUUCACCACAUAAAUCACACUUAGGAGGAGCCACUUGUUGACCUUGAGCCUAUUGGUCUUGCAAUUGUCCCAUGGUAAUUGCUAGCACAUGUUUGGUCAAGGCUUCUAUCUGUUUGUUCAUGGCUGUUUGAUUUGCUAGGAUGACACUACUCUCACUGACCCCAAAACGCCCAUUUUCUUUUUCUCGGGUUUAUCACGGUACUCAUUUUGGGCCAUGUUCUCUAUUAUGGUUUAAACUUCAUGGUCAGUCUUAUCUCAUGAUUCCUCCGGCUGAAGCAUCUAAGAACAUUCUAUGGCUAUGUGUCAACCCCUCAGUGAAAUCUUGUAGGUAUGACUUCUCGCUCAAGUCAUGUGGAGGACACCUUUUAAGCAAAAGUUUAAGCCGCUCCCCGGCAUCAUACAAUGAAUCAUUCUCCCUCUGUUUAAAUUUGGUGAUCUCAUGUUUUUCUCCUAAUAUUUGGACAUAGGAAAACACUCUCUUAAGAACUUAUUGAAGCUAUUGGAUGACAAAUUUCACUUGUGAAGUAUAAUUACUCAGUGUAACCGUAGAAUGGAGAAAAUUAAUUGAAUUGAUUGAAGCAAAUUAUUUAAAAGUACAUGUAUUCCAAAGUAGCCAACAAAGCAUUUAGUUGUUAUUUGAGUUAUCAAUCUCUAAUAUAUGAACUUAUUGAUGUUAGUUUGUAAGAUGAUUCAAUUAUUAUGAUAAUUGCUAAUCAAUAUCAAGCAAGAGGAAGACUCUUGUAUCAAAGUAUUAUACAAAAAACCAAAUAAUUUGCUACUCAUCAAGUUUUACUCUAGAAGGCAAUACUAAAAUGAAGCAAGAUGGAGAUUCUUAUGAGGCAAUAGUAGAUGAACUUAUUAUGUUCAUUAUGAAGAAAACUGAAUUACUAUGACGAUUGUCAGUUGCUAAUCAAUUAUCAAGUAUUUACCUUCUACUCAAGACAAGUGUUCAACUAGAAGGCAAUACUGAAAUCCACCAAAAUGGAGAUUAUUAUGAAGCUAUAAUAGAAGAAUGAUGUAAGAUCUACAUAUUUGGAGAAAAUUAUUGAAAAAUGAUGUGCAUCAUUGGAGAUAAAGGAUGGCUUAGACUAUAAAUCGGUCGUCUUAUGCUAAGUCAUGUUGUAGGGACUAGUUGGAUACUCAAGAGUGUAUCGAGUUUUCUUGUAGUUGAGAUUAAGUGUGGCAUGUAUCUGCUUUGUGUUUGCCUGAGACUGUUGCAUCGAAAACCUGGUUACUGAAAUGGCUAACAUUCUAGGGAAGAUAUGGUUUGAAAAGACCAAAUUGUGUUCAAACUAAAAUUUCUCAAUUCAGUGGACGUGGCUAGAAGCGCUGAAGAAUAUGUUGUUGACUUCAACCAGGCAAAUCUGAGAAGAGAAAUGCAAGGAAGUAUGUAGCAGAACCAGUUGAGUAGCAGUCUUGACACUGUACCUCAAGUGCAUGCUAUAGUCAUAUCAUGUGUUUUUAGAAACCAGUCUGGUAAUAUUUAUGGCAGCUUGCGAAAAGAAGAAGCUUUCGGUGUGAGAUGGUGCCUCCGAGUGGAGCGCAUACAAGCACGAUAGAAUGUGGAAAUACAAACUGACUCACUGGUGGUAGAAGAAUUCAUCAUAGGCAUGAGGUCCAGUGCAGCUAUAGAACCUAUAAUCUCUUGUUGACCGAGCUGAUGAGUACAUUUAGAUUUUCUGUUACGCUUUUAUUUGAAGACAAUAAUAUUGAGGUCCAUAGGUUGGUUGCUGUAACAAAACUUGUAGGUUCAAGAAUUUGGUUGGGACAUGUAUCAGACUUUUUCUGGUGCAUUAUAUACCAGGGUAACUCUGUUUCUGUUUUAAUGCACUAUUAAGAAAAAUGUAUCUUGUACUUAUGUCAGAUAUCAAUAAAAUUACUCAUUAGUGGGUUUCUUUUUGUUUUCA